rnacentral:lncRNA from 1 species
GGUGUAUUGCAUAUUUCUGGAGAUAGGAUUUCACUCAUACCAACCAAAUGAGCCCCACCGUGUUAUGAUGUUCCCCAAGUUUUGGACUAGAUCCGAUGUCGAUUUGUUCAUCAAAUUGGACAGUUCAGGUUCGUACGAAGUUCAUUCUGAAAUGGGCAAGUUGGUGUAUUGGAUAUUUGUAGAGAUUGGAUUUCACUCAAAACCAACCAAACGACUACUUCCACAACAUUAUGAUGUUAACCAAGUUUUGGACUGAAUACGUUAUUGAUUGGUCCAUGAAAUUGGACUAUUCAUGUUCAUACGAAGGUCGUUCUCUAAUGGAGUGGUUGGUCUAUUGC